AUUGAACGCUGGCGGCAUGCUUUACACAUGCAAGUCGAACGGCAGCGCGGGCUUCGGCCUGGCGGCGAGUGGCGAACGGGUGAGUAAUGCAUCGGAACGUGCCCAGUAGUGGGGAUAGCCCGGCGAAAGCCGGAUUAAUACCGCAUACGACCUGAGGGUGAAAGCGGGGGACCGAAAGGCCUCGCGCUAUUGGAGCGGCCGAUGUCGGAUUAGCUAGUUGGUGGGGUAAAGGCUUACCAAGGCGACGAUCCGUAGGUGGUCUGAGAGGACGACCAGCCACACUGGGACUGAGACACGGCCCAGACUCCUACGGGAGGCAGCAGUGGGGAAUUUUGGACAAUGGGGGCAACCCUGAUCCAGCCAUGCCGCGUGCGGGAAGAAGGCCUUCGGGUUGUAAACCGCUUUUGUUCGGGAAGAAAUCCUCUGGGCUAAUACCCCGGGGGGAUGACGGUACCGGAAGAAUAAGCACCGGCUAACUACGUG
rnacentral:rRNA from 1 species